GAUAGGAGUGAAGCGGAAAGAGCUCAAAUUUAAAAUCUGGUGGUCUCUUUGGCCAUCCGAGUUUGUAAUCUACAGAAGUGUUAUCCGUCCUGGACCAUGUACAAGUCUCCUGGAAUGGAGCGUCAUAGAGGGUGAGAAUCCCGUCUUUGACAUGGAAUACCAGGGCUUUUGUGAUGCACUUUCAAAGAGUCGAGUUGUUGUGGGAAUGCAGCUCUAAAUGGGUGGUAAAUUCCAUCUAAAGCUAAAUAUUGGCAAGAGACCGAUAGUGAACAAGUACCGUGAGGGAAAGAUGAAAAGAACUUUGGAAAGAGAGUUAAACAGUACGUGAAAUUGUUGAAAGGGAAACGCUUGAAGUCAGUCAUGUUAACACAGGGGUCAAUCUUGCUUAUUUGCUUGGUGCAUUCUCUGGUUGACAGGUCAGCAUCAAUUUUGACCAGUGGACAAAGAUUGAGGGAAUGUAGCAUCUUUUAAUAGGAUGUGUUAUAGCCUUUGGUUGUAUACAUUGGUUGAGAUUGAGGAAUUCAGCAUGCCGCAAGGUCAGGUUUUUUAAUGAACCAUGUUUUCAUGCUUAGGAUAGCUGGCAUAAUGGCUUUAAUCGACCCGUCUUGAAACACGGACCAAGGAGUCUAACAUGCCUGCGAGUGUUUGGGUGGAAAACCCAAGUGCAUAAUGAAAGUGAAAGUUGGGAUCCCUAUUUCUUGGGAGCACUGAUGCCCAGACCAGACCUUUAGUGAUGGAUCUGAGGUAGAGCAUGUAUGUUGGGACCCGAAAGAUGGUGAACUAUGCCUGAAUAGGGUGAAGCCAGAGGAAACUCUGGUGGAGGCUCGUAGCGAUUCUGACGUGCAAAUCGAUCUCAAUU
rnacentral:rRNA from 1 species